AUAAGAAUGGAAGGAGCAAAAGAAACGGGUCUCUUCAACUAGGGCUAAAACGACGGAAUUCAAGGGGGCUGUACGCAUUGCACAAUCGACCAAGAGAUAAAAGAUCUCACAAGCGACGACUAGAGGACUAGUUGACGACGACGCAACUGCUACACAAACUGGAACCAUGGUCGACGCAACACCGAGAAGAAGUAAGCGAUGAGCAUCCAUUGAAGCGACGAGUAGACUACGGAAGAAGGCAACAAAACCCAUACGGCAACCACAAAGAUCAAAUGACCCCAACCCUGAUGAUGACUUUGAAAGUCCACCGGUGGUCGCUAGACAACCAGAAAGACCAGAAGUGAAUGGAAAGGAAGCGUUGUUUCCAAGAUUCACGAUAAAACAAAUAAAAACUUGCUAGAAUUUAAUUUAAGUAAAAUUGUCGAUAUAGCGAUAUUCAUGAUGUAGAAAUAGUGCUCCUGCGGUAUAUGCUAUUGUGCAAAAAUGCAUAACAUCUCAGAAUCGGUCCAUGUAGCAACAUGGAAUUUAUUUGUUUACAAUUAAAUUUAAGAUAAAUGAUUACCCACACUUCAGGAAUUGUACAAUAA